rnacentral:rRNA from 1 species
AUUGAACGCUGGCGGCAGGCCUAACACAUGCAAGUCGAACGAGUGGCGGACGUGUGAGCAAUGUCUGGGACACUGCCUGAUGGAUGGGGAUCACUAAUGGACACUGUAGCUAAUACCGCAUACCAUCAGAUGUGCCCAGAUGGGAUUAGCUAGUUGGUGGGGUAACGGCUCACAAAGGCGACGAUCCCUAGCUGGUCUGAGAGGAUGACCAGCCACACUGGAACUGAGACACGGUCCAGACUCCUACGGGAGGCAGCAGUGGGGAAUAUUGGACAAUGGGCGCAAGCCUGAUGCAGCCAUGCCGCGUGUAUGAAGAAGGCCUUCGGGUUGUAAAGUACUUUCAGCGGGGAGGCGUUACCCGCAGAAGAAGCACCGGCUAACUCCGUGCCAGCAGCCGCGGUAAUAC